rnacentral:lncRNA from 1 species
CCUGCCCUACAGCCAUUCAAAACAAGAAUUUCCACUUUAGCUGUUCUACAAAUUAGUGCUUGCACUACACUGAAAGCUGCAGGAGUUUUUUACGUGAAAAACAAACAAACAAAAAAAACCCCAUAACCACAACAAAAACACAGAAGAGGUUUUGAUUUUACUUUAACUGGUAAGAUUAGCAUGAGAAUUCCAAGUGCCUAGAUGCCAGGCUGGAGGUUAAAGGAAGCAGCUGGAAAAACUGCACAAUGAUAAUAUCACAAUAAAUCCCUCAAAAAAAAAAAAAAACAAACCCAACCCCCCAAAAACCCCAACAUGCUGUGUUCAGUGAGCAAUGAUCAAAAUGCCUGCUUUCUGUUCAUUAAGGAUGUUGGUAAUUUUCAUCCUUUCUGCUGAAAAUGGUGGGAAGGUGAGCAAAGUGUCUGAGGCUUCAGAGCUUGAUCAGCAUUAUCAGAUGGAAUUUUCUGGCUCCCACCCCAACGAGCUAUUCAAAGCUGAACUCUUACACGCUGUGUUUAGCAAUACCAUUGUUCUUGUACUCUGCAAAAAGUCCAAAUCCCUUUGGUUACACAUGAUUUGAAUCAUCACAAGUAUUUAUGCCUCAGGACAAUGUCCAAAUUUUAGUUUUCUGCAGCCAGACCACAGUAUGACCAGCAAACUAUGGCUCCCAGGACAUACCUUAUUUCUGUAGGUUCUAAUUAAAAAAAACAACAACAACAACAAAAAAAUGCAACCCACAACUGCUUGCAUUUCCCUGACACUUGAGGCAGAGCUAUAGUCUUAUUUUUUGCGUUUUGAACUAAGCCCAUCUCCACAAGGUAGUGCUUUCUUGCCCCUUGAUGUGCUCCUCAGGGAGUGCAAAGUCUGCACUUGCUGUAGACGCUUGGAGAGCUCCUGAUCGCAAGCCUGUUGUACAGCUUUGGCUUUUUGCUUGUCCCAGCUUAAAGCUGCAGCCAGGGCUUGUGUGUCUUCUUUCACCACCAGCUGUAAGAGACAGACUUGUAAUGGUGCUGCCCACUGAUGCUGUAACACCACAACCCCCUGCCCACACACACUAAGAACAGGAGUAACGAGACACCUGUUUAAUGCCAAUUUGCUGUUGAAGAUGUUUCCAGCUUACAUCUUGUAGCUCUUAGGCUAAUGUAUUUUGCUUUAAUAUCCUACCAGUACUUGGAGCUUGAAGCUCUACACUCAAACUAGCAGAAAACAUUUCCUUAGUUUCUGCAGCACAGAAAAGUGAGAUUAACAAUUUAAUAUCACCAGAACACUUCCUCAUGGUUAGUUUACCCCGACUCUCCUUUUCAUGCCCCAGAGGCUUCCCCUCUCAACCCCUUCUCCAGAUAGGUGAGAUUUGCCAGAACAUGGUUGUAUGAUCCUCACCCACCUCUAGAGUUUGACUGUCCAAGCAGAGCUCUGGGGCAGGUUUCUCUUUCAAAACAGCAAAGAUGUGAUCACUGAGGGCUGUUCUGGCUGAAGCACCUGCACUGCUGGUACCCGUGUCAACCACAUCCAUCUCCUUUCUUGGUACACUCUCAGACUCUGAAAAGCAGAAGAAUCAUCACAGCCACAUGCACAGGACAGGAAGUGUAGCCCAGACUGCACUGUUGUUUUUGAGAUAAGAUAUGCAGCCUCUAGCUUAGGAAUUCCAUCAUAUUAAGGAUGACUACACGAUGUAAGCUUUUCCCCCAUAUUCUACUUUCAUCGUAAGCAAUGUGACAGCAGUGAAAGGACUCCUGGUCUCUCCCAUUCAGAGAACUCUUCCACUACCCGAGCUAUUCAAUCAAUCAUGUUAAUAGCAAGUGACUCGCUUCACUCCUUCCCCCACUUAUUUGUCCCACUCAACUCUUUCAGGCUUCUCUGAGAAGCUCCUUUUUCAGCAUCCUAACGUUCCCUACCUGCUACUUUGCUUAAGAUACUGUCUUCAUUUUUCAAGGCCUCUAAGUAGAGUUCCAGAAGCUGCUUUGACUGACGUUCCUCUUCUCGUCUGUCCAGCACCUGCUGCAGGGUGUCCUGCAAUACCUGGGUUUUGGUUUGAUUCUGGGCAAGUUCCUCUGCCAGAUCCGAACGUGGUACAUCAAUAAGCACCUUAAAACAACAGGAGUGCUCCUGUUAUAUGGACUGAGUGAUUGAGCAAUUCCAUCACACUGAUUACAGCACAAACUACAAGCCUGAAUGACAAAGCCUCCACCUUUGUGAAACCUUCUAUAUGUCACAAGGUUUUCACAGUAGUCAGCCUGGUUAUGAAAAGCUGCAGUGGCAUUCCAGUGAGCCCAGAGAUAUUCAGGAAGGUGUAGAAUUGGGCAUUUUUAACACGAUUUUUUGCCUGCUAACUCCAAGCAAUCAAAGUACCAAUUCUUAAGUGAGUGUGGGAGCACACAAAAGAAAGCCAGCAGGCUGGCACUUGGGAAUCUGCAUGCUGCAGGAAGGCAAGAAGGGGCAGAAUCACAAAGACAUGCUGUGAGGGAUAAUCAGCGAUCUAGAGCAUCCUCCUCAAACACUUGUGCUGUCAGUGGAACAAGGAUUCCCCCGCAAGGAGAAAUUUCACUUUAGCACCACAGCCAAAGAAACAACAGCUGAAUGAAGCUCUGGGAUCCGACUUGCUUAUUCUAUUUUGUGCCAUCCAAUGUACAGACGAGCCUGGUCCCCCCCUUGGCCUUCCCCUCUGUACCUGCAGGUCUUCUUCAGACAUGAGGAUGAUGUUGGACAGGUCAGCCCUCAGCUGCCGCGCCAGCUGCCUCCACCUCUCUGCACCGCUGUCCACUUCAUCCGCAGGCUCUGAGAGCCAGGCCGAUCUGCUGUCUGCCAUCGACAUCACCAGCCAAAAGACGAAAACACAAAGCUAUCGCGAUCAGAACGAGAGCCAUUACUUCCCCUUUAAAGCUAUUUAACCCUGCUUUUUUUAUGCAGUGUCAAAACCGGACAGCCUACAUCUUUUACAAAGCAGCUACUGGCUGACAUGAGGCUCUUCGGCUUGGCCUCCCUGCUUAGCUGAUCGGGGGCGUAAAAUCUGGGGUAGUUUGGCUCCUUUCUGGGGCCCUGAGCUCCUCUCGCUCUCGCAGCCCCGCUCGUACCCGCGCAGUUCCGCUCGCCGCGCCGCGCCGCCGGGAAGAGCCGCGCUGGGGCCGCCCCGCGCCGCCGCUACCUGCGCUCCUCCCGGACCACCUCUCGCCCUCGGCCAGCGCCACGAACUUGGUGUUGGAGGGCAGGCACAGGAAGUAGUCCUCGUCGUCCACGAUGGUGCCAUCCUCCGCCAGCACCAAGGUGAUGGGCCGCCCGUCCUCGCCGAUAGCCAGAGCGCUGCCAGCUGCGCGCAGAGAAACGUUUAGUGCCGUCAGCGCCGGCCCCGGGCUCUUUCAGCGGGCCGUGCCCGCGAAGCGCCGCCGCUCACCCUUAUCGCGCAGCUCCCGCAGGGAGGAGGCGGCCAGCCCGUGCUGCUCGCGCCC